CAGUCGCCGCGGUAAUACGGAGGGUGCAAGCGUUAAUCGGAAUUACUGGGCGUAAAGCGCACGCAGGCGGUCUGACAAGUCAGAUGUGAAAUCCCCGGGCUUAACCUGGGAACUGCAUUUGAAACUGUCAGGCUGGAGUCUUGUAGAGGGGGGUAGAAUUCCAGGUGUAGCGGUGAAAUGCGUAGAGAUCUGGAGGAAUACCGGUGGCGAAGGCGGCCCCCUGGACAAAGACUGACGCUCAGGUGCGAAAGCGUGGGGAGCAAACAGGAUUAGAGACCCGAGUAGUCCCUGUCUCUUAUAA
rnacentral:rRNA from 1 species